GAUAAACGCUGGCGGCGUGCUUUAUGCAUGCAAGUCGAACGGUAUUGAUGUAUCAAGCUUGCUUGGAAUAUCAAGAGAGUGGCAGACGGGUGAGUAACGCGUAAGUAAUCUGCCCCUAAGUAAGGGAUAACCCCGAGAAAUCGGAGCUAAUACCUUAUGUGGUGGUGGGGGUAAUGCUUCAUCACUAAAGCCGCAAGGCGCUUGGGGAGGAGCUUGUGUCCGAUUAGCUAGUUGGUAGGGUAAUGGCUUACCAAGGCGAUGAUCGGUAGCUGGUCUGAGAGGAUGAUCAGCCACACUGGGACUGAGACACGGCCCAGACUCCUACGGGAGGCAGCAGUGGGGAAUAUUGGACAAUGGGGGCAACCCUGAUCCAGCCAUGCCGCGUGUGUGAAGAAGGCCUUAGGGUUGUAAAGCACUUUCAGUGGGGAGGAAGGCUUCUGGCUAAUAACCUGGAGUACUUGACGUUACCCACAGAAGAAGCACCGCUAAUUU
rnacentral:rRNA from 1 species